rnacentral:ncRNA from 2 species
UACAGAGGGUGCGAGCGUUAAUCGGAAUUACUGGGCGUAAAGGGUGCGUAGGUGGUGACAUAAGUCAGGUGUGAAAUCCCCGAGCUUAACUUGGGAAUUGCGCAUGAUACUGUGUUGCUAGAGUGUUGUAGAGGAAAGUGGAAUUUCCGGUGUAGCGGUGAAAUGCGUAGAUAUCGGAAGGAACACCAGUGGCGAAGGCGGCUUUCUGGACAAACACUGACACUGAGGCACGAAAGCGUGGGUAGCAAACAGG